rnacentral:rRNA from 1 species
UACGUAGGGGGCAAGCGUUGUCCGGAUUUAUUGGGCGUAAAGAGCGUGUAGGCGGUUUGGUAGGUCCGCUGUGAAAACUCGAGGCUCAACCUCGAGACGCCGGUGGAAACCAUCAGACUAGAGUCCGGAAGAGGAGAGUGGAAUUCCUGGUGUAGCGGUGAAAUGCGCAUAUAUCAGGAAGAACACCCGUGGCUAAGGCGGCUCUCUAGUACGGUACUGACGCUGAGACGCGAAAGCGUGGGGAGCGAACAGG